AACAACAAGCUUUACAGGAACUCUUUCCAAACCUUUAUUGAUCUCGUAAACAAAGGAAACUUAUACACAUAUCCGUAUGUGUGCUAUGCACAAAGAUUGCAUGCUACACCAAGCUAUCUCUAACUCGUACUCUACAUGUUCUCACAUGCCCCACGCAUGCCUCACAUGCCCCAUGCAUGUCUCUCUUCAACCAAGAGCUGCAACUCUCCCAUGAUCUCCCAUGAUCUCCCAUGAUCUUAGUGGGUUGAGAGCAAUCCCUGGUCAGCCCCCACGUUUUCAGCCCCCAUGAUCCCAUGAUCUUGGAUAUCCAUAACUACCACUAACCCACAUUCUGCAUGUCCACUUGGCAGCCCCAACUGCCAGUUCUCGCUGCGUCAUCUGUUGAGUUUCUCGCAUGCCUUGGACAGUCCGUCGUCCAAGCUUCAGAUUGUGCCAAGUCAACCCAACGACUUUCACAAGCUGUUGCUCGUUGCCGAAUUCGCAUCUGCCCGCAGGCUGCCAAUUCCUGCGCUGCCGAAUUCGCAUCUGAGUGCAGGAUGCCACUGUCUGCGCUGCCGAACUACGCGACAGACCCAGUUCUCGUCAGCCUAUCCCCCUGACGAGUUUUCCUGCUUGGUCUGGACAGUCCAUCGUCCAACCCAUGUUUGUCAACAAUUUGCGCUGCCGAUUUUCCUUUGACGAACCUACAGUGCACAAAUCUGCGCUGCCGAUUUAUCCCACUGUUGGCAUAGCUGCCAGCACCCUUAGGCACUGUUUUGACUAGCCUGCCGAAGCGUGCACCUCGUGCACAUUUAAUAUUGUUACAAACCACCCCCACCAAAAAAACCCGACGCCCUCGUCGGACAGAUUCGAAGUACCCUUGCAUCGCAUCUGUUCCUCGUCACACUCCAUGUUUCUCCACACGAACCUCUAGCUUUGCCCACAUUUAACAAACCCGUGGCUAAAAUAUUAGUAGAGUGAUGUAGAGUUUAUGAGCUAACUUAACUAGAGAGAAGGAUACUGACUUAGUCUCAGAAGUAGAUGAGGAUGCAUAUUCUUCUGGUUUGGAGGAGGGAAACUCUGACAUUUGCACCAGCACGUCACUUCAGCUUUCUUCUAGGCCACCUGCAAUAAGUGGAACCAGUAUCUAAGCUAAUAAACUUCUGAAAUUUCAUUUUUUAAUAGGCACACCGACCACCAACUCCUGUGAGCUAAAAUCCCCAAAAUUAUAACAAGAAAACCACCCCAAUGCUGAAGAUCACCCAGAGUAAAUACCACUACGCAAAAUAAAUAAAUAAUAAUAACAACCAAAAUUUCUCAAGAAAAUCACAAAAUCCCAAUUAGACUCGUUCUUCCCAUAGUUCAUUUUUUAACUAGAAAACCAAUACCUACCAUUAUUUUCCAACUUCUACAAAUUUAUGCAUCCUCAGCUCUCCAAUUACUACACCGGUAUAAAUUAUGUGCACAAAUACACGCAUGAAUGACAAUAAAUCUUCCCACGAAAUGGAAAAAUCACUUGGAAUUGACAAACCACAAUCAAAAUGCUUGCAAUCAAACACAACAGCUCACCUCGCUCGCCACGCCAACAAUGCAGAUGCCAGAGUCGCUCCCUCACUCACUUCUUACUAUCCAAAAACAAGCCUUCUUGCCCCGAUCAUCACAAUCCAAUCCGAAAUCUUGAAUAUACGCGGCAAUGCAAGCUCCUUGGGUUACAGUACAAGCUAAUUCUCUGUACAGAUGUCACGUCUCCAUUUCAUUAAAAAAAUUAUUAAUCAUGAUAGUAGAGAUAGAGAAACGGUGUACGGAGAUCGGAUCGGAAGUUCAUGUCACAGAAUCCAGGACAAGAGAAACGUCAUUAUCACGUCUCUCAUCACUCGCUAUAUAUAAUUAUUAUUUUAGUAUCUACGAAAUUGUAUCAAUAUAUAAACAACUGCAAAUUGAUACCAGAAAAAAAAACACGGUGCGGUACGGUACCCGAAAAGUUGAGAGUGUGAGAGAAGAAGAAACCGUCAACGGAAGUCAAGAGAGAGAGGAGUCAGGGUCUUCUCGUUUCUUUUUCUUUCUUCUCCCAGCAGAGUGAGGGUGUCUUUCUGUUUUUCCUAAUUUUGG
rnacentral:lncRNA from 1 species